CAUACGUACAUACGUACAUGCAUACAUAUAUACAUACAUACAUGCAUACAUACGUGUAUACAUACAUGUAUACAUACAUAUACACAUACAUACAUACAUUCAUACAUACAUACAUACAUACAUACAAGGGAUGGAAAGGAUGUAUGCUGUUUAAUCAUAUCAGUGAAUUUGACUUCCCUUUCCGACAGAGAAAGAAAACAUUUUCUUCAUUGUGCAAUUUGGUCUCUCAUAUCUAAAGUUCCACUAUUAAACAAAGUAACAGAAAUGAGAAACUAAAUCAGCGAAAAAAAAAAAGGAUCAUGGAAAAGUGCUUUUAAAGCAAUUGAUACAAUGACAAAAAAUAUUGCAAUAAACUGGAACUACUUGUUGCGUAAGUACAAUAUACAUUGUAUAUUCAUCUCUUCUUUGGCAAAUGAAAACUGGAGAAACUCUGCAAAUUAAGACUUAAACUCAAUUUGCUUUGAACGAUGUCUUUCUCAGUAGCUCAGGACAAUCAAAAUGAAUAUAAAUGCUCUUAAAAAAAGAAGUCUUUAUAUCAUGAGGUCAAACAACUCCAUCCCAAACAGUGGUCCUUGUGGACGCAAAUCAAAUCAAGUUGCAGAUAAAAAAAAAAUUUAAGGCUAAAAAUUACAAAGACUGGAUAAAGCGGUUUGUGUUUCUCG